rnacentral:rRNA from 1 species
UUGAACGCAUAUUGCGCUCGACCCUCCGGGCAAGAGCAUGUCUGCCUCAGCGUCGGUUUACACCCUCACCCCUCCCACUUUGUUGGGUUGCUUGGCAACUUUGCCAGCAUAGGUGGUGGAUCUGGCUUCCCCAAUCUGCCGUCUGGUAGAUUGGGUUGGCUGAAGAGUAGAGGUUUAAGCAAGGACCCGUUAUGGGCUUCAACUGGAUAGGUAGCACCGGCUUGUGCCGACUACACGAAGUUGAUGCUCGUGGAUCUUGCUAGAGGCCAAGCAGGAACGUGCCCAUGGCACGUCUAAACUUUCGACCUGAGCUCAGGCAAGGCUACCCGCUGAACUUAAGCAUAUCAAUAAGCGGAGGAA